rnacentral:rRNA from 1 species
AUUGAACGCUGGCGGCAGGCUUAACAUGUGCAAGUCGAGCGGGGUGAUGGUGCUUGCACUAUCACUUAGCGGCGGACGGGUGAGUAAUGCUUAGGAAUCUGCCUAUUAGUGGGGGACAACAUCUCGAAAGGGGUGCUAAUACCGCAUACGUCCUACGGGAGAAAGCAGGGGAUCACUUGUGACCUUGCGCUAAUAGAUGAGCCUAAGUCGGAUUAGCUAGUUGGUGGGGUAAAGGCCUACCAAGGCGACGAUCUGUAGCGGGUCUGAGAGGAUGAUCCGCCACACUGGGACUGAGACACGGCCCAGACUCCUACGGGAGGCAGCAGUGGGGAAUAUUGGACAAUGGGGGGAACCCUGAUCCAGCCAUGCCGCGUGUGUGAAGAAGGCCUUAUGGUUGUAAAGCACUUUAAGCGAGGAGGAGGCUCUUUUGGUUAAUACCCAAGAUGAGUGGACGUUACUCGCAGAAUAAGCACCGGCUAACUCUGUGCCAGCCGCCGCGGUAA